CUACGGGGACGCGGCGAUCUCGGUUCUCCCUCAGAGAGCUCCGCUCUCGGUAACGGGACGGCGGCUCUUUUUCCCCGCUACCGUUUUCAGGGCGUCGGGCCGUGUGACGUCACAUCCUGUGCGGCGCUCGCGCCAAGAAGGCCCGGCCAGGGCUGGGGGUGUCCCACAGUGCGCUGCGGCGGCGGGGGCUCUUGGCGCCAAGGCGCGGGGCGUGGCCCGGCCCACAAUGCAGUGCGGGGCGGUGCGGGCCGUGCGCGGAGCUGGGGGUAGCUCUGCCCGUUACAUCGUGUGCUUUUUCCCGUCCCGUCCCACGGCCUCCUGCGGGGCUGCGGCUAGGUGUUUUCUGCGUCCUUGCCCCGGGGGAGGGGGGAGCAGCGCCCCGACCGCUCAGCGGGCGGAGCGCGGAGGCGGUUGGGACGGGUACGGCUGCGCGGAGGCAAAAUGGCUGCCCCGAGGGCACGGAGCGGGGCCCGGCGUCUCCCCCCGCCUCCGGGUGCCGCUGCGGGGCUCCGCCUGGGUAGGGCGCGGCCGCCCGGCUGCUUCAGGUCGGCGGUGCGGCUUCGGGAAUCAAAAUAAAGAGCAAACCGAACGGCUGUGCCUGUUCGCGUCCGCGUCAGUGAAUAGAAACGGAAGUGCGAAAACGUUGGGGACGGAAAAUCGAAGUUGAAUUGGGCGCAACGAUGGGCGCUUUGCGGGCUGCGGAGCGCUGCGGCUGCGGGCACUAAACGUCCUGGGGAGGCACGGAAAUAACGCCCCGCUAUGUUUGUUUUCUUUAGAGAUUGUAAUUUAUAUGAAGUCGUUCUAAAGCACUGGGAUGUUAUCCUUGUUAGUCACGGGUCCCUAGCAGUUUUCUUCAGGCAGCACAUGCAAUUUUUAAUAUGUAAAUUGCUUUUAACUAAUGAAGGUGCAAUUAGAUGAGCCAAGCUUUGGUUUUAAAACAAGCAUUCUUAUGGCCGGCAGCUUCUCCCUGGUGACACGGAAACUCAAACAUCCUCCUUUUUCUUUUCUUUUUUUCUUUUUUUAAUACAAUGUAAGACAUUUGUCCUGCCCAGGAGGGCAGGGCAUUCACCAUGCUCUUCCCUCGUGCUUGGCCUCCUGGAGAUUGCACUUUGCUUUUGCAGAGCCCCAUGUUAUCAGCGGAGCACUUAAAGCAUUUGGAAAGCUGGAGAACGUUUGGUUGCUUUGUCAGAGCCACUUUUGGCUUUCUGGAAAAAUGUACACGUGGAGAAUCAUUAAACAUUAAUUAUGUAGAAAAUAAAUUACUAGCUAAGAAAUGGCAAAUAGACUCAAAAAAAAAAAAAACACCAAAAGUCUCAACGAGCUGCUGUAAAAUGACAGGCUUCAGUUCUCAGAGCAGAGAACAGAGCUUUCAAGCAGAGUAUCGACCAGCAAAGCAAACGCGAACCAAGUCACCCGGCUCCUCUGGGUGGAGCUACGCUGGAGCACAGCUGGCUCUGAUCCCUCCUCCGCCCGCUCUCGGCCUCUCACAUUGCGAACGAAGCCCAGCAGGUUUGGUUUUGCUCUCGCUGGCAUCCUCACGACUUUCCUUCUCCCCUCUUCCUUCUGGAACCUCUUCCCACGCUGUUAAGCAUGCCCUCGCUCUGCUCAAGCAGCCGUGUGAUGCCACAGGGGCUCUUUGUGCAAAGACACCGCAGCGCUCUGUAGUGAGCUCACUAUUCAUUUUUACUGAUGACGAAACAGGAGUGGCGGAGGAGCGGCAGCUUUCCCAGGGCUGAGGCGAGAGAACCUGCUCCUAAAACGCUGCGGAAUCCGGCAGGGAUUAGUCCUAACUAAUCGCACUGCACUGCAAAAUAACAGCUCCUAAAGCCCAGACUGUUUGGGAGAAAAGGGCCGUUUUUAAACAACGCUGUGACCCAGAACAAUUUUUGCAGAACGGAGUUAUCUGAACUUCCCAGUCCCUGACAAUGGUUCUGGGGAACUGGGUUCAUUGGCAGAUCAGCAGUGACACGAAGCUGCACAGACAGUGUCUCUGGAGCUCAACGUGUUGAGCCAGGAGGUUUGGGGGCUUUAAUACUGAGUUCUCUCCAUGUUAUCCAUUUACUUGUGCAGAAAAGAUACCAAACUGCAGCUUGUAAUAGUUGCAAUAGGACAAUGAAUGUCUGCAAGGUGGAAAAUGUUUCCCAUAAAGGCCACAGUGGCAGAGCUCAUUUUAUUUAUUUAGAUGUAUGCAUAAGCAAAAAGAUUCAGUGUGCACAUGCUGUGGCCUGUCCCGAUGCACACCUUGGCUGUGCAAAUUCUGCCUGGGAGCCACCUGGGAGAAAAACACGGAUGGAGGUCAGGGUGAGGAAAGCUGCUGGAAGACCGGGCAGAGAUGCAGCCCCUGCACGCUAGGACCAGGGUCACAACAAAGUCAUGAAUGUGACUUGAAAGAUGAUGGCAGUUAUUUGCUAAGAGCGGGGCCGAGCAUGCCUGCAGGGCACGUGGUACGCAGGGCCGCAGUGCUGCUGUGGGGCACUCCCCGUGCUCCAGUGCUGCUCCCGCACGUGACGCCUGUAGCUAAGCUAACAGCACAAGGAUGAUGUGUUGGGUGAGAUGCUUGGGUUUUAGAAAUCCUGGAACACCGAUCAUAACAACACCUACGCCCCCGAAGCUGUUAAACACGACUUACUCAGAAGAGCCGUGACUGUAACAUCUCUGAAGCACUAUUUGUCUUGCUAGCAACAAUUAAAAGCUCAUUAACAAAAUGAGGUUUUGGUGGGAUGUACGCUGCCUUGUUGUCACGUUGCCAUGACUUCAGGGCGAGGUUCCCUUGGGUUCCUCACCAUGUGGGUGGUGUGUCCCCGGUGAGCCCCCAGCUGCUGCGGCAGUUGCUGUCCCUGUGGUCCCCGCUGGGCACUCCCCACAGUGCUCCAGAGGACGAGGGACAGAAAACUGGUAACGAGCACAGAACACAAACACAAGCCCUCUCCUUCCUGCCAAGGAAUGAGUCAACAAAAGGCACAACCAUCUCUUGGCUGCUCAUUUCAGCAUCUGUCUGUCCAGCAGGCACAUGAGGUCCGUGUGUACCAAUGUCCUCGUGGUCGUGCUGCCCUCAGGAGUGUGCAUUGAUCUGAGGCUUUUUGCUCUCCAAAAAUAGCCCCAAUUUGCCAGGCCUCAGUGGUUUGUAAAGGAGGUUUUCCAUUAGCGUUCUGUCGGACUGCAGGCAGCAGUGAUGUCUGUGCUGUUUUCUGCCCGGGGUGUUCAGUUUGGGAACUGCUGGAGCCUAAGUAAAGCACAGAAGUGUUGCUGACCUACAUCACAGACCUGCAUUCAGAGCGCCGUGGAUCCUUGCUGUGCUGGAGCAAGGUGCUUUGCAGCUUGUCCCUGUGAGGAGAUCUGAAGUUGCCAGGCUCUUUGCUUGAGGUACCAGCCCCAGAAGAGUGAUUAUCUGUGACUGCAAUGUCUCCAGACCAGGAAAUCCAUCACAGCAGCCCCACUGGGAUAUCUGUGCUCUGACCACAGCUGACAGCUCUUGACAGAGGGGCUUUGUGCUGAUACAACGAACGGUCAAAUGUCCCUCGUAUGCACAGCCACGAUGCCAUCAGGGUGCCAGGGGUGUCACUGCCAUGCCACAUCCCCAAGCCAUGUGAGAGCUGGGAGGUGAGUUAAAAAAAGAAACUGCUCUUCCACUGCUGCUGUUUUUAUUGAUGAUUAUUGGCAAACAGAGCAACUGAUGGCAGAGUCUGGAGAGGAGCAGGUACAGGAGUCACGAUGGAGGACGGAAGACAGAAGGAGUUGCUGCAGGAAGAGAAGACAAAGGCAGUGCUUGUACGGUCAUCUCUGCAGAUGUGUGGUUUCAUUGCAGAUAUUUCCCUGGCUUCAGGACAGGGACCCAGGCAGGAAAGCUGUUCCCGAGAACAGAGGAGCAGAGCCACGGCUGGGGCUGGAAAUGUGCCUGGUCAGGAAGCGCCUGGCCGCAGGGCAGAGCUGGGCUGGCGGAUGAGCACAGCCUUAGAUGGCAAGCAGCUCUGCACAGCCAGGCCCUUUUCCUCUUCAUCUCCGUGAAGUGCCUUAUAUAGUGCACCCAGAGCAAUUUAUAAAUAAAUGCUUUUUGUCACGAUUCAGGAACGCAUCUCCCAUUUGAACCACUUCCUCCUGUGCAGGCCAUGCUCCUUCCCAUGCACAGAAGCACUCAGCCCACAGAGCCAGUGCCAUGCUGCUACUGGCCGGGCUGUGAACCGGUCUUGCCCCCAGUGUGAGGUCCGGGGCUCCUGUUGUACAGGAUGGGCAUGGUCAGCAGCCAUGCACAGUUCAGUUUGCCUCAAGGUCAGCUUAGCCCCCACCACUGCCCCUGCUUCAGUUCGGCAUUAACUUUACAUUAAACUGCAGCUACCUCGACUUCGUGGCUAUCGCUACUGCACAUGAGGAUUAAGCAGAAAUUCAUGUCAAUAGGAAGGGCAGGAAUGGAGAGCUGACUCUUACAGAAGCUCAGAACACUCCCUACUAACGAAGAUCCAGCAGUGUGCCCUGCUGCAUGGCAGUGGGGGCAUCUUCCUGCCCGCCUUCCCCUCAGGUGGUUCCUUGGCACCUGCACCGGGUGAGAUGGAGCAACCAGCGUCAGGGCUGGCGGGCCGCCAUCCUGGCACAUGGGCCGUCCCGGGGACACCUGUACGCUCGGAGCACGUUUAUGGAGGGCACUUUCUGUCCCGCCACCACAGGACACCUACAUCCUUCUCGGGCACCGGAGCCCCAUGGAGCCCCAGGCCG